AGCUAACCUAACCUAACCUAAACUGCUCAAGAGCACCUGCUUCGAGAAUGAAUCUACUAGCGGAUCGGAAUCGCGACCCGCUGAGAAGAUCCGGCGAGUAGCUCACUGUCAUUGGUUAGUUUGCACGUCUAUAUAUAUCUUCUCUAUAAUGUAUAUACCAAAUAGAAAUAUAAACAGUAAAAAAAAUUAAUUACUCGUUCGAAAACAGAAAUUUUAUUACUGCUCGAAAAUGACAUAAACCGUAACGUAUCUUAUCAGUACUUUGAAAAACAGCUAUGUAGGUGAAAACUUAAUGACAUUUCUUUUAAAACUGCAUAUUAAUUUCUUGGUUAAACAAGUCAUCUAUCGUUUUUAAGGCCACGGUAGUUUAUGAGAAAUGUAAUCUCGGUUUAGUUCAAAUUGAAAAAAAAUAUCCUUCUAAAUAGUAUUUCUUAGAUUUUACUCCUGAAAAACCAAUUUAACUUAGAACUGACGCUCAUGCUGUAACGCUAGAAAAAUUGAAUUGAAUUUUUUUUAGAAAUUGACGCCAUCUAGCGUAUACGUGGCGCAGUGUGGAGAAAUAAAAUAAUUUUAAAACACUAAGUAGUUCUCUCACUCGACGCUGCAUGACGUGACUGUGCGAUCUUGUCUAUAGUUCGAAGGUGAGAUUGGCACAGCCCUAUUAGGCAGAAUCUUCGAGAACCGUCAGACUAUUGCUAUAAAAGGACAAGUCACUUUGUCCGAGUCCUUUUUCAAUCAACAUCUCUCGAGCUGCAGUGAAAGUUUUGUUACGCAUUUACCUGAGUCAAUUAAACAGUUCCUUGGUGUCUUAUAUUAAACCAGGGUCCUAAUAACUAGUACAUUAUAUGUACAUCAGUUAGGGUGCGGAGAGUGACUUUUAGAUCACCUUCGAGAUCCCGCAGUACCUUUCUGCGUGGACGCUGCCGGAAGCGAGGUACUCUGGCUAGGCGAUCCAAGAAAGAGUACUUGACUACGGUAGACCAAGAACACACCUGCAUACCCAGCCUUGCUCGGAUCCAUCAACCCCAGUUGCUGGGAAGCAAUCCGGUGAACCUUCAUCGUCCGUUUGUUAACUAAACUGGUGAAACCGUCAUUGUUUCUAGUAAUUUAAUUUUAAACUAAUUUCGUUGAUAACUUUCUCGUGUGUUCGGUGUACCUACCGACACACAUGUAAUAUUGUACCUGACCACUAAUUUAAUCUUUGUAAACUAUUAUAACAAUUGUAUCCGUGUUAUUUAAAUAGAAUAAACACUGCUUUGUUAUAUUGUAAUUGUUUUCAUUUAUUGGUGUGAAUCUCCCAGAGCGAUAAGUGGUGGUGCCCUGAGAUCCUCCUUACAAAGUCUCCUGUUCACCGGUUGUCUACCGGUGGUGACGUGUCUAAAAGUGGUGCGACUCUGCCCCGUUUUUUCUCGACCCAUAGACCACCUUUUGGGGAGUGACGCGACUGGGCCUCAUGUAACAUCAGCAUACCAGGGACACCCUUAGACACAGACACGUUAUAUUGCGACAAUUUAUUAAGUAGUAAAAUAGACCCAUGAUAUGUAUCAUUAGAAUAUAAUAUUAAACUUUAUCAAAUACUGCCUAAAUAAAGUUCUAAGGUCUCAGUAUAGUUACAACGGCUGCCCCACCCUUCAAACCGAAACGCAUUCCUGCUUCACGGCAGAAAUAGACAGGGCGGUGGUACCCACCCGUGCGGACUCACAAGAGGUCCUACCAUCAGUAAUUACGCAAAUUAUAAUUUUGCGGGUUGGCUUUUUAUUACACGAUGUUAUUCCUUCACCGUGGAAGUCAAUUGUGAACAUUUGUUAAGUUCUUUUUUUUUCCACAGGAGAAAAUCGCCGGAUCCUCAUCCGCGCAGCGGUUGGGGUAUGUGGGAGUUGAACCUCACUAAAAACUCCUGCCGCUCACAGCCGACGCACUACCCCAGACCGGGCCGGAGCCCAGUCGGAGUUAUUGAGACGGCGGGACAGGGCUUACGCAGAGCAUAUUACAUCCAUCCCGUCGUCCCCCAGAGGCUGGACCAGCGGUCGCCGACGAAACAGCCACCGGUUGCCACGGUCGACGGGCCGGGGGCCCACCUUGAAGGCGCCACGCUGCACCUUUCCCCAGAGCGGUCGGAAGAACGCGGUCUACCAUCACCCGGCUUCCUAUUACGGGCGUGGUGUAAAUCACCCCGCCCCACGGCUGGGUCCCUCCCCGCAUAAAGCGGGUGGAGCCCAAAGCUCUUAGGGGGCCAGGUAAUGGAUGGGACCCCGGUCCCGACCCCCUGCUCGGCGGCGGCGGAUUUCUGCGUAGUGAGGAGAGCUUUGCCUCACCCGCCCCGCCGCCCCCUUCUGCGAGACGGUGCACUCGCAGAAGUCGAGUGACAGGACUGUAGUAUUUUCUAAAGUUUUGGGAGGUUAACGGCAAAGGGAAGAUCUUCGACCGAACGGGUGAAAUUACUCGGGACAUCGACGAUCGAUAUGUUCGAGUACUAUCGAGUCGUCGCGUCCCCUUGCAAAGGCGUGGGACGCGCCGCGGGGAAACCCCUUUGCCCGGGCAUGUGACUCCCUGUCUAUCGAGGCGGGGGUGAUGAGUUGCGGGUUGAUAACUAGAAGGCUUGAGUUGAGAUUGUGAUGGAUGGGACUGUCUCUUCAUUCCUCUUCAUCUUCUCCUUCUUUAUUCUUCUCUUCUUCUUUCUUCCUUCUUCAAUGUUCAGGUUGUUCAGUACUUGCAGUAUGCAAGCUUGUCUUGAAAAUGUCGUUAGCGAGAUUCAGGCAUCCGUCAAAUAUAUUGUGUUCCGUGAUGGCUACCGGCUAUAAAGUGAAUGUCAGUUUCGUAAUUUCAUUUAAUCUCCACUUAUCGGUAUUCUCGCCUCGGGUAUUGAUUGUAAGCUAAUACCUAUUGAUUGGAAGCUGUUCCCUUAAGAGACCUGUCCUUGCUAUCGUCAUGAUGGACUAUAAUUUGUACUUUAAGGACAUUGUAACUCUAUUAUCGACGGUUUACUGACAGAUAAGUAAACGUAAACUAUAAGAGUUAGUUGGUUGAUUAAAAUUGUAUAGAAAUCCCACAAUUCGAAUUUUUACCAUAUAACAUAGGAUUUUAAUUGUAAUCUUUGAAUUACCUCUGCUACUGUUCAUUAUAGAAGGAUAAUAUUUUCGGAACAUGGAACUACGGGAUAUCUAACCUUCGAAGCUCACAAGUCCAUAAUGUCACUCGAUACUAGUGGAUACUGCCGUCUUGUCUAUGCUCAAUAGAUCAAACUAAAAGUUACAAAAAAAAAUGGUGCGCGUGCAGCUUGGUGAACAUGAGAGAAGUGAAACUUCUUUUGCAGUGUGUAGUAUUGUGGUUUUCUUCAUUUUUCAUCCUUAAAUCAAUGGCCUAGCUCGCUGUAUCUUUUCUCUCUAGCCGUAACGAAUCUGUGGCGAGUUAAAUUUUAGUAUUUUUUAUUUUUAUUGCCCGUGUAGUCGGACGAGCAUAUGGCCCACCUGACGGUGAGUGGUUACCGUCGCCCAUGGACUUCAGCAAUGCCUGGGGAAGAGCCAAGCCGCUGCCUCCCGUUAAAUACUCUCCACAAGUCUCAUUUGAAGAAGGAUAAUCUCAACGCACCUCGCACCUAAAGAAGUUUCACUUCAAAAACUGCGCUGUAACCACUUUUGCUCAUCUAUAGCAGUAAAGAAUGUGUAUGCAAGCCUCGUGUACUGUUCAAAUAUCCCCGUGCGCAAGAAGCUGGAAUAUCUCCUUAGACUACGAGCGAAUAUUAGUUAAUAAAUCGAUUAUUAAGGAGUAAACAUCAAGAAGAUGUAACUGAUAACUAAUUGUAUCAUAUCUUGACAUAUGGGGCCGAAAUCUCGAAAAGGUUUUUUUAUUGCCCUUGUAGGCAGACGAGUAUACGGCCCACCUGAUGGUAAGUGGUCAUCAUCACUCAUGGACAUCAGCAAUGCCAAACCGCUGCCUAUCGUAAGGUAUCCCACCCUUUAAACCAAAGUGAAAUUCAGUAAAAUAUUCUUGUAACCAUAUGUCCUUGUGUGUAAAAUUUAAAUAAAGUUUUUGUUCGAGUUCUAUUUCUUUAAUAGGUCAAAUAUCUAUGGAGAGUGAUGAAAAUAAAACAAAAAUAUGGAAACAAAUAGUUUUAAUUGUUAUAUAACACCACAUAAAAAUAUUAUAAUUUAUUCAAAAUUGAUUUAGUAAUAAAAAAUUUCAUCUAAUACAUUUUAUUAGCUCAAAGAAAAAAUAUGCUGCAAUGAUGGACCUGUAAAUAAUUUAAAUUAUAGUUUAGUAUUUAGUAAAUCUUUAAGGUAUCAUUACGUUUAAAAUUUUGUUAGUCACAUAUAUCGAAGAAAUCUAGAGAACUGAUUAAAUAUACACGCUCGCACGAAAAAAAA